CCUACGGGAGGCAGCAGUGAGGAAUAUUGGUCAAUGGACGAGAGUCUGAACCAGCCAAGUAGCGUGAAGGAUGACUGCCCUAUGGGUUGUAAACUUCUUUUAUAUGGGAAUAAAACGUUCCACGUGUGGGAUUUUGUAUGUACCAUAUGAAUAAGGAUCGGCUAACUCCGUGCCAGCAGCCGCGGUAAUACGGAGGAGCCGAGCGUUAUCCGGAUUUAUUGGGUUUACAGGGAGCGUAGGUGGAUGGUUAAGUCAGUUGUGAAAGUUUGCGGCUCAACCGUAAAAUUGCAGUUGAAACUGGCAGUCUUGAGUACAGUAGAGGUGGGCGGAAUUCGUGGUGGAGCGGUGAAAUGCUUAGAUAUCACGAAGAACUCCGAUUGCGAAGGCAGUUCACUGGACUGCAACUGACACUGAGGCUCGAAAGUGUGGGUAUCAAACAGGAUUAGAUACCCCAGUAGUC
rnacentral:rRNA from 1 species